rnacentral:rRNA from 1 species
CCCUUAGACGUUCUGGGCCGCACGCGCGCUACACUGACGGAGCCAGCGAGUAUAAACCUUGGCCGAGAGGUCUGGGAAAUCUUGUGAAACUCCGUCGUGCUGGGGAUAGAGCAUUGUAAUUAUUGCUCUUCAACGAGGAAUUCCUAGUAAGCGCAAGUCAUCAGCUUGCGUUGAUUACGUCCCUGCCCUUUGUACACACCGCCCGUCGCUACUACCGAUUGAAUGGCUUAGUGAGGCUUCCGGAUUGGUUUAGAGAAGGGGGCAACUCCAUCUUGGAACCGAGAAGCUAGUCAAACUCGGUCAUUUAGAGGAAGUAAAAGUCGUAACA